AUGGAGACCCCAUUCCACAUCCGCCUCAGCUGUUCCCGAAGGAAGACAAACAUGCCCGACGCCAAUAAAACCGCAGCGCGACGCUCCCCCAAUGUCGCCGAACGGAUGAACUUCGCAGGGAGCCACAGAACCCUCACCAGCUCCCCACAGUUCUGGCUGCAGAUCCAGCGUGUAAUAGAAGAUGGUGAGAAUUCAAUAAUCAUCAGAGUCUUCGUCUCCACAUGCUCUACUGAACAGGAAAAUAAUUACAUUUCUUUCGCUCUUUUUUUUGUCUGAGAUAAAUUAUGGAUCCCUUAUCUGGCUCCAAGGAUAAACCAAUCUGAUUCACGGGCCAAUUAACAAGCAUUCUUGCACCUCGACGGAGCGUGCUCAGUGUCUCAUGAUUGAGUGGCAUGCGCACGGCACGAAAAGAAGCAUGCGGCUUAUGCGAUUCUCAUAAUACAUUCUCUAUCAAACGCCAUGCAUUUCCUUGCACAUAUUUCUAUUUUAUGAUUCUACGAUAUAUAAUAUAUCGCCCAAUUGAUGUUCAAUAUGUUUCAUGUUUUUUAUGCUCACCAUCUGUAUUCUGACUCUAAAACAAAAAAAUGGUUUCUUUCUUAGCUUCCACACCCCCCAUCUGCUCUUCUUCAUCUUACACCUGACUCAUCCUCACCUCCAACCUCACACUACAGAGCGGCUUUGGAUGAAGCAUAAUGAUGGGCAGACAGAGCGGCUCUGAGAUGUGGGAGAGGUUGUGUUCUGAGGGCACUCUUUUGGUGCGUGGCGCUCUGAAGCAGACUGCGUUUGAUCUCUUUGAAAUGCCACGGGUUAUUGUGUUUCUGCUUAAAGUGGUCUUACAGGAGACAUGUGGAAUUCUGUCAGCUCUGGGGCUGGUUUGGGAAAUGGUCGGGGAUUUUAAAGAAGGUGCUGUUGUGCUGUUCAUGUGAGCUCUAAGUCUGUAAACAUUAAUUUUUAAACUGUAUCAUACGCAUUUCAUAGUUCUUGUGUGAUAACACAGAAAGAGGAAAUGUUAUUAUUGAGAGCAAUAUGUGUUUUUUCCACUUUCAUUUCACACUCAUGUACACCUAGCCUACAGUACAUUAGGUUGGUGUAAAGGUAGAGGGAAAAAAACAAUAAAAAAACUAAAACAAAUAUUUCA
ensembl:lncRNA